rnacentral:rRNA from 1 species
GCAAGUCGAGGGGUAACAGGAGUGCUUGCACUUGCUGACGACCGGCGCACGGGUGCGUACAGCGUCUAGAACCUACCUAUUACUAGAGUAUAUCCCAUGGAAACGUGGAUUAAGACUCUAUGUUAUACUAUUUUGGCAUCAAGCUAGUAUCAAAGAUUACGGUAAUAGAUGGCUAUGCGUCCCAUUAGCUAGUUUGUAAGGUAACGGCUUACAAAGGCUACGAUGGGUAGGGGUCCUGAGAGGGAGAUC